rnacentral:rRNA from 1 species
GACGAACGCUGGCGGCGUGCUUAACACAUGCAAGUCGAACGGAAAGGCCCUGCUUUUGUGGGGUGCUCGAGUGGCGAACGGGUGAGUAACACGUGAGUAACCUGCCCUUGACUUUGGGAUAACUUCAGGAAACUGGGGCUAAUCCCGGAUAGGAGCUCCUGCUGCAUGGUGGGGGUUGGAAAGUUUCGGCGGUUGGGGAUGGACUCGCGGCUUAUCAGCUUGUUGGUGGGGUAGUGGCUUACCAAGGCUUUGACGGGUAGCCGGCCUGAGAGGGUGACCGGCCACAUUGGGACUGAGAUACGGCACAGACUCCUACGGUAGGCAGCAGUGGGGAAUAUUGCACAAUGGGCGGAAGCCUGAUGCAGCAACGCCGCGUGCGGGAUGACGGCCCUCGGGUUGUAAACCGCUUUCGCCUGUGACGAAGCGUGAGUGACGGUAAUGGAUAAAGAAGCACCGGCUAACUACGUG